AUGGCCAAGUUCAUCCGUAAUUUCACAGAGAAGGCACCAUCGAUGGUGGCCGCUGCCGUGACUUAUUCGAAGCCUUGAUUGGUCACAUUUUGGCACUAUGCCAAGGCUGAGCUGGUUUCCCCCAACCUGUGGUGAAAUCCCUACAGCUAUUCAGAGUGUGAAAAAAAAUCAUUCAAAGUGCUAAAACUGGUAGCUUCAAACACCUUACAGUGAAGGAAGCUGUGCUGAAUGGUUUGGUGGCCACUGAGGUGUGGAUGUGGUUUUAUAUCGGAGAGAUCAUAGGCAAACUUGGCAUUGUUGGCUAUGAUGUUUGA
rnacentral:lncRNA from 1 species